CUGCCGGCGAGCAGGUGACACCGCGGCUGCCCGGCGCCGUGUGCGCGGCAUGUGCGCGCCCGUGUAGCGGGGCGGCCCCAUGGGCGGCGGCGCCGGCUCCUGCCUCUGCCCCCCGUCUUUGGAAGCCCGGGCAGGAAACGCUCCUCAUGUCUUCCAGAUAAAAAUAAAAGCGACUCCUUCCUCCCGGCCGCAGAGUGUCCCCGCGCCCGGCCCGACGCGGGGCUGAGCUGGCCCCGCCGCCCGGCAGCGCCUCUCGCCGCCGCUCAUGGACAUCGCGACGGGUCCCGAGUCCUUGGAGAGGUGCUUCCCGCGGGGCCCACCGGACUGCGCCAAGAUGCUGGACGGCAUUAAAAUGGAAGACCACCCCCUGCGCUCGGGGCCGGCCACGCUGGGAGUGCUGCUGGGGUCGGAGUGCCAGCACCAGGCCGUCUGCGAGGGCUGCCAGCGGCCCAUCUCGGACCGGUUCCUGAUGCGGGUGAACGAGUCCUCCUGGCAUGAGGAGUGCCUACAGUGCGCCGCGUGCCAGCAGGCGCUCACCACCAGCUGCUACUUCCGGGACCGCAAGCUCUACUGCAAGCAGGACUACCAACAGCUGUUUGCUGCCAAGUGCAGCGGCUGCAUGGAGAAGAUCGCGCCGACGGAGUUCGUGAUGCGCGCCCUGGAGUGCGUGUACCACCUGAGCUGCUUCUGCUGCUGCGUCUGCGAGCGCCAGCUGAGGAAAGGGGACGAGUUUGUCCUCAAGGAAGGGCAGCUGCUCUGCAAAAGUGACUAUGAGAAAGAGAAAGACUUGUUGAGCUCGGUCAGCCCAGACGACUCAGACUCAGUCAAAAGUGAUGAUGAAGAUGGAGAUGUUAAGCCCACCAAAGGCCAAGUAACCCAAGGAAAAGGAAGCGAUGAUGGGAAGGACCCAAGAAGACCUAAACGACCAAGAACAAUACUUACUACACAGCAGAGACGAGCAUUCAAAGCAUCCUUUGAAGUAUCUUCUAAGCCCUGCAGAAAGGUCAGAGAAACAUUGGCAGCUGAAACAGGGCUCAGUGUGCGAGUCGUCCAAGUCUGGUUUCAAAACCAAAGAGCAAAGAUGAAAAAGCUAGCACGAAGGCACCAACAGCAGCAGGAGCAGCAGAACUCGCAGCGACUAGGGCAAGAAGUAAUGUCCAACCGAAUGGAAGGGAUGAUGACAUCUUACACACCACUUGCACCACCACAGCAGCAGAUUGUAGCAAUGGAGCAAAGCAGUUAUGGCACAGACCCAUUUCAGCAGGGUCUUACCCCUCCACAAAUGCCAGGCGACCACAUGAACCCCUAUGGAAACGACUCCAUUUUUCAUGAUAUCGACAGUGAUACCUCUUUAACUAGCUUGAGCGACUGUUUUCUUGCCUCUUCCGAAGUUAACUCCAUGCAGGCUAGAGUAGGAAACCCCAUUGACAGGCUGUACUCUAUGCAGAGCUCCUAUUUCGCCUCAUGAAAGUAAAGAAAACUAACAGCCGGCGUGUGUUUAGCCAGUGACUUUUCCAGUGCAGACUCUACAGCCAUAUGUUGCCCAGCUCUUCCUUCACAGUGACUCUGCUGCCUCUGGACUGCAAAGAGCAUUUUUUUAGGAAGACUGUCUCUGUUUGCAUAUAUGUGUAUGUAUGUACAUAUAUUUUAAUACCUACAUACAUACAUAUAUAGGGAGACAAAACACAUCCACCCGUCCCAUACCCUUGAUUCCCAGCUGGCGCCAGACCACGAGACAAGCACGGAAGGAACAGAAGAACCUGCUCGUCCUCAGCCUUUGAUCUGGUUUGGUUUGAGCUCAUCAUCUUAAAAGAAAUGGAUUUUGUGGAAAGCUAGACCUUUUCCUCCUCUCUCUUCUCCUUUCUUUUGGAUGUCUAAAGUUUUUUUUUAGCCACUGAUACUGACAUCAGUCAACCAUAUGACAAAUAAAUCAAAGAAACUGGAGAUUCCUCCUUUUCUUACUGCAUGAUUCAUACUAUGUUGUGGAUAAAUUUCCAUUUGAACUGUGAGAAGUUAAUGUAAAUGUGAUGUUCAACAUUUGUUUCCUUUCUACACUUUUUCUACAUAACCUAGAUCUGCUCAUUAGUUUAUAGCCCUUAUCCGUAUGAUACUGAGGAAACUGGUUAGCAGUAUUUGUGGAAAAAGCCAGUGAUUUCAGAGUAAGAAAGGUCUAUGACCCUGGAGAGGAGAUGCAUGUUAGGGGCAGAGGUAUUUAGGUUAGUAUUGAUCUCAAGUAAUUAAAACUAAAGGUGCUUACAAGACAGAUCUAUUUAAUUUUUUCUGAAGUGUGAGAUUAAAAUAUUUACAUUUGUUUGUAAGUAUUGCAGUGCCAAAUUUCAAGUCUAGACCAUGACUGGCGAAGAAGUGUUUUUCAUUCUGUUCUGUUUAUUUGUUUUGCAUGAGGCAUAAAUAUGCUGUUCUCUAUUGUCCAUCUGGAAUAAUUAAGCACUCCUUUAGUUACCUUGCCUCAGCAAGAAACAAGGAUACACAGUUCUAGCCUGAAACACCAGAAGUCCUGAAAUGUGCACCAGCCAGGAACAGCAAACUGUGAAAGAAAUGACAGUGGGAAGUUCAGGUAUGUUGAGCUGAAAUUUUAGCAGGGCCUGCAAAUGCCCCCUGCCAGGACUCCUGGCUGUGGUGCCAGCUGAGUGAGCAGUGUGAGCUCUGCAAGGACAGACGCACCGACCAAGGGGUGGCCCAGGUGACGUCUGUCUCUGAUGCUGAAGUUUGAGCAUAUGUCAUAUAGAUUUUUGUAGGGCAUAAAAUAUCAUAAAUAAUAAUAGUAUAGCUAUAAAUAUUGCCUGGUGAUAAUUAUAAUGUGGAGAAGCAGACAAGUACAGUCAUGGCUCUCAGUAGAGAAAACUUCAUGGGGAGUAUUUGCCAGGGUAAUAUCAGUAAUUAUAGGGUGUGUUCAAAAUAGAGCUCAUGGGGAAAGAUUGGCAGGAUAGGCACUUUCUUAAAUAAAUACCUUUAAUAUAUUGACCAUAAUAGCUGAAAAACAAGUCCAAAGCUUUCGUUAAUCUAACUCCUGCAGGCUGAGGACUGGUACCAGGCCAGCAUCGCAGUGUCCCUGUGGGGCCUGGCAUCUUCUGUGGGAGCGUGGGUCUCCCAUGGAGGGGAGACCAGAGCAGGACCCCUGCAGCCUCCAGGGAGGGAGCAGCCCCACUGCGGGGACCACCGCCUCGGGGAGUCCUGCUGGGAGCCCCGCAGCAGCUGAUGGAGACAGGCCCUCCUGGUGUUCCGGAGGCACGCUGGGAACGGCAGGGUGAUGGGUCCAAGGACAAAAAUACCAUUUUCCCCCAGCAUGGAAGUGUGCACUGAGCAUGUUGGACGUUUCUUGAGAAAGCCAAGUUUAUCUGCAGUCAAACAUCUAUAAAGAACUCAGGUGAUCCUCGCUGCUUGCAGGGCAGAAGCAAGCAGGUUUCAUAUGGCACAUGUAAACAUAUCAUUUGUCACCACCGACCUCAAUGGAGUCAUCGUUUCCCUCUUCUCCCCUCUGCUGUGCUACUUUACAGUCAUAGAAAAGCCUCUCAGAUGCACCAGUUUGUAGACUCCUCAUACAAGCACAGCCUUGCUUCAUAUCUCAUUACUGGCAGGAUCAAAAUGGCAUUUUUGGUGUUUACAGGGACUUAAAUGAGAACUAUAACAUGACCUACAGUUUGGAGAACUGCCUUGUCCCAACUCUACCUCUGCAUCUGGGAUGGAUGUUGAAAAAUAAUCCAUCUCCAAGGAAAAAAAUCAGACAUCCCAUUUUGUAGCUGAAGUAUAAUUCUUUGCUGAUUCUCUGGAUGACUGUUUGCCACCUUUUUUUUUUCAUGCUUGUACAUACUAUCUCCUCUCCCUUGGCGUGUCGUAUGAUGAUGCCUUAGCUGUUUGUUGCCCCAUGUUCUGCCACCCUUGGAGCCACACACACGCACACAUUCAGGCCCUUGGCACGUGUAACAUUUUCCAUGCCAUGGCGGGCCGCUGCUGGUCCAGGGAAGGAAUGCAUAGGCAAGGAUUUCCAGUGGGCCUGCAAUAGCUGGCAAAGGCCAAAGUUCAUUAAAGCAAAAUAAAUGUCACUUUCUUUUUGUGGAAUAAAUUAUCCUACUGGAGUGUGAUCAUUGUGGUUUUAACCUGGGACCUUGCAGUAAAAGAUUAUACAGCAACCUCUGACCUCUUUGAUUUCUGCUUUACUCUUCUGUUGUCAAGGGAAUUUACUGAUCAGGUGAAAGUAAAAUGUUUAAUGGGCCAUAUCACACUAAUACCUUACAUUGAGUCAAAUUGAUAAACUCUUGCCAAAAAUUCUUAGCAUCUGGCACUUCCACGGAAACCACAAACAAUGAUUGUACAUAUGGGAGCUCAAAGGCUAGAGGUCAUGACAGCAGUUUAUUACAUGCACCUUACAGUGAUCAUUUUCCCUAGGAAAUUAACCCCUCUCUAACAGAAAUGCAUCAAGUGAGCUCUUCACAGUAUUUCCAUCAUAUUGUUUUGGCUAAUCAAGGAAUAAGUGUGCAGCUGAAGUGGUGACAAGAUGCAAUUAAGUAAAAGAUGAUUGAUUAGGUUUCAGUGUGCUUAAUAAUGUAUAAAAAAGAUGAUUGUGAGAUCAGAAUGAAUAUGCUGGGUAUGAGCUCAGAGGUCCUUCUUGUGCAGCUGCAGGUCUGUGAGGGCGGCAGAGGGUUCCCAGCACCCUGAGCAGUUACUGAGCCGCCUGGUGUGGGUGCCAGCUGGGCUCUGGGGUGCAGCAGCACCUUCCCCUGGCGUGGCUGGCUGCCGAGGGGAUGGCUCGGGCUGUGCUGCUGUUCCAGACCCUCCUCAUCACCGCCCUGAGGAGCAGCCCUGGGGCUGGUGGCAGACAUUUCACAGUCACAAUACUGGAGAUAAUUAUGCUGCUGUAAAUAAAUGGUGAUGGUUACACUCACUUAUAUUGAAACACCAUCCUGGGUAUUUUGGUCUCCUUUUCUUCUUUAAACUCUGUCAUCAAAAACAUCCAGAUCACUUGGCUCAGUCGCAGCUAACCAUGCCUGAGAUGUGGCUCAUGUUGGUCACACAGUAGCUGCUGAGUGGAUUUUUCAAAUCCACCCUGCAGAACUCAGAUGAUCAUUGCCAGGUCCUUUGAAGGGUCAUAGCUCAGCCAGCACGCUGUGCAUCAUGCCAUGGGGAAGGUCCUUCAUGCCAGCAAACCUUCCAGAGAUGAUGUGAACCCACUUCCCUCUUCCUACUGUGCUCAGGACUCCCUUCCAGUUUCCUUAAGGGUCAGAGGUACAUCCCAAGCCACUGCCCCAGGUACUCCAGUGAACCCAGCUCUGGGAUGCUGCUGGGAUGCUGCAAGCUGGGCUUUACAAGAGCACCUCUAUGAACCGUGACAUAAGAACUCUGGUUCUCUCUGAAAGUCACUAGAAAUGAACAGCAGAAUCAUGAGGAAGGGAAGGAUUCUCACGAGCUGGAGCUGGGUCACAGCAGUGAAGGACAGAGGCAGCUGAAGCACAACGCAGCUGUGGGAGCUGGAGCCACAGUACCCAGAGUCUCAGUGCUUCGGAUCGUGCUUCACACAGCCCCACGCCCGACUCACCCCACCAAUUUGUGACCAGUAGCUGCUCCCUAGCAUGCAGGUCCCUCCAGAGCCCCCUUCCGUGGCCUGGGGGCACAGGGCAGCCACAAGGCCAGCACUUCAGGCACCGGUGCUCCUUGCUUAGGGACAUGCUUGGGCAUUUGCUUGCCUGAAGUUUUUUGGCUUUGGUGGGCUUUCAACGCGGUCUUGCUUCUCUGAGGCUGAUCUGACUGCGCUGAUGGCUGUUUCCCUCCUGCUGGCUGCAGCCUGGAUCACCUUGGCUUGGUGCACUCUGGUUCUGUUCAGCAGCAGCUGUGAAGGGGCUGCCAGAUACUUUGCAUUGGGAACUCUGUUUUUAGGUGAAUACCCUAUUUUUUAGCUGUGUAUGGCUGUAUUACUUGUAUAUUUAUAUAUUCUGUAUUUAUGUUAUCGAAAUGUAGUAUUUUGUAGCUGUCUGUUACAAUUUGUUUAACUUGUAAAAAAUAUGACUGUGCUCUCUCAUACUUAACCAGCUCCUUUCACUGUAGAUUCGCUGCUCCUUUUCCUCUGUGUCGGAAACAAACCACCAUAAUGUAUGUAGAUUGGAAUUUUUUCUUUAUUUAAUUAUUUGUCAUUAUUAAAUUAUUUAUUAGUGUUUUUAAUUUUCAUUUUACUUCCAUUUUUUUCCUGCCACCAUUGCUGGCAGCUAAGAUCCAUGUUUCUCAUGCAUCACAUUCCUUCCCACGUGCAUGUGCACGUACAAACACACA